AUUGAACGCUGGCGGCAUGCCUUACACAUGCAAGUCGAACGGCAGCACGGGGCAACCUGGUGGCGAGUGGCGAACGGGUGAGUAAUGCAUCGGAACGUACCUUUCAGUGGGGGAUAACGUAGCGAAAGUUACGCCAAUACCGCAUAUUCUGUGAGCAGGAAAGCAGGGGAUCGCAAGACCUUGCGCUGAUUGAGCGGCCGAUGUCAGAUUAGCUAGUUGGUGAGGUAAAGGCUCGCCAAGGCGACGAUCUGUAGCGGGUCUGAGAGGAUGAUCCGCCACACUGGAACUGAGACACGGUCCAGACUCCUACGGGAGGCAGCAGUGGGGAAUUUUGGACAAUGGGGGCAACCCUGAUCCAGCCAUGCCGCGUGAGUGAAGAAGGCCUUCGGGUUGUAAAGCUCUUUCGGCCGGGAAGAAAUCGCACGGGCUAAUACCCUGUGUGGAUGACGGUACCGGAAUAAGAAGCACCGGCUAACUACGUGCCAGCAGCCGCCGUAAUAC
rnacentral:rRNA from 1 species